rnacentral:rRNA from 1 species
UGAGAGGUGAGCAUCUCACUUCUCAAGAGCGACGGACGGGUGAGUAAUGCGUGAACAAUCUACCGGCAAGACUGGGACAACACCGGGAAACUGGUGCUAAUACCGGAUAAUCUCCACCGGCGGCAUCGUUGGUGGAGGAAAGUCGGCCUCUGGAUAUGCUGGCGCUUGUCGAUGAGUUCACGUCCCAUUAGCUUGUUGGUGGGGUAACGGCCCACCAAGGCGACGAUGGGUAGCCGGCCUGAGAGGGUGGUCGGCCACACUGGGACUGAGACACGGCCCAGACUCCUACGGGAGGCAGCAGUGGGGAAUCUUCCGCAAUGGGCGCAAGCCUGACGGAGCGACGCCGCGUGAGGGACGAAGGCCUUCGGGUU